GACGAACGCUGGCGGCGUGCUUAACACAUGCAAGUCGAACGGAAAGGCCUGCUUUCCCUUGUGGAUUGCGGGUACUCGAGUGGCGAACGGGUGAGUAACACGUGAGUGAUCUGCCCCCAACUUGGGUAUAAGCCUGGGAAACUGGGUCUAAUUCCCGAUAGGACUGCAGGGUGGUGCCUGUGGUGGAAAACGAUUUUCUAGUGGUUGGGGAUGGGCUCGCGGCCUAUCAGGUUGUUGGUGGGGUAAUGGCCUACCAAGGCGGCGACGGGUAGCCGGCCUGAGGGGGUGGACGGUCACAUUGGGACUGGGAUACGGCCCAGACUCCUACGGGAGGCAGCAGUGGGGAAUAUUGCACAAUGGGCGUAAGCCUGAUGCAGCGACGCCGCGUGGGAGAUGACGGCCUUCGGGUGGUAAACUCCUUUCGACCGCGAGGAAGCCACCUGGUUGGAAGGGUGGUGACGGUAGUGGUAGAAGAAGCACCGGCUAACUACGUG
rnacentral:rRNA from 1 species